rnacentral:rRNA from 1 species
GAUGAACGCUGGCGGCGUGCCUAAUACAUGCAAGUCGAGCGAACAGACGAGGAGCUUGCUCCUCUGACGUUAGCGGCGGACGGGUGAGUAACACGUGGAUAACCUACCUAUAAGACUGGGAUCAUUUCGGGAAACCGGAGCUAAUCCCGGAUAAUAUAUUGAACCGCAUGGUUCAAUAGUGAAAGUCGGUUUUGCUGUCACUUAUAGCUGGAUCUCGGCCGCUUUAGCUGGUUGUGAGGUUAACGGCUUACCAAGGCAACUAGGCGUAGCCGACGGGAGAGGGUGGUAGGCCACACUGGAACUGAGACGGGGUCCAUACGACUACGGGAGGGAGCAGAAGGGAACGGUCCGCAGUAGGCGGAAGCCUGGCGGAACAACGCCGCGUGAGUGGUGGAGGUCUUCGGAUCGUAAAACUCUGUUAUUAGGGAAAAACAACUGUGGAAGUAGCUAUGCCCGUCUUGACGGUACCUAAUCAGAAAGCCACGGCUAACUACGUG